UCAGGUCAUCAGAGCACAUGUCCUCAAUGAGUUGCUCGAAUACAUCGAGGACUAUCGUUGCUCAGGGGAAUCACUGGCAAUGUCUGACUUGACAGCCCUCUAUGACGAGCGCAUUGCUGAUCUUGGAUUCCAAACAUCAAAUGCAACACCACACGCCUUCGGGAGGAUAUUGAACGCCUGAUUCCUGACAUCAGAUCAGUACAAAUAAAUCGUGUCUGGUCCCUUGUAUUUGAUGAUGACCUGAGCAAAGCUGUUGCUGACAUGAAAAACAACACUUCUACCGAUGUCUCCAUCAUCUUCAAAGCAGCCAAAAUCCUCCGGCAAGAGUAUCUCCCCAUGAAGCAUGCUUUUACAGGUACCUUCUCAACUUCCUGUGAAGCUGAUUCUAUCCCUCCCAUGCUGAGAUCGUUCUUACACAUGCUUCUUGAUGGAUCAGGUAUUGAUCAGCCACCUCCUGGACCUGAGAAGUCCCAGGCUGCAACAUCCAUUGGGCAGCAAAUAAUUUUCAACUCUGUAAGAUGCAGAUCCAAGAAACAUGGCAGUGUUCCUCGUCACAUAAGAGAGAGGGAAACACCAGCUUCGCUAUAUCUGGCAAUGAAACUACACCAGCAAAGUGGUAGUAGAUAUCUGGUGGAGGCCAUGCAUAAAAGAGGAAUGUGUAUGUCAUAUGACCGCUUGAAAACAUUUAGCAUAGAUAUAGCGAAUUCAGUGAUCAGUCACUGGGAGCAGAUUGGUGUCGUGGUCCCACCUCAGGCAGUCAAGGGUGUCUUCACCAUUGGUGGUUUUGAUAACAUUGACCACAACCCAUCAUCGACAAUAGCAACAUCAGCCCUCCAUGGAACAUGCAUCAGCAUUCAACAGCACUUCUCUUCAGACAGCCAACAGACUGAGAAUCUGACUGACAUCCUAGAUCCAGCUGAAAUGGGGAAGAAGCAUGUGAAAUCCUUGCCACCUCACUACACAACCAUGGAUCUGGAGGUAUCACUGCCAACUGAUGAGGUCUUGUAUGUUCCUGCCCUGAAUACCAACAGCCAUCCUCAUCCAGCCUCCCGUCCUCUCAUCAAUGUAAUUGAAGAAGGCUACCAGUGGUUAGAGAGAGUCAGAAACAUUCUCGUGAAAGAGAACCUUGAAGCCGGGGAAUGGAUCUCAUGGGCUGCAUAUUAUGCCAGCAUCACAGAGGCUACUUCACCUCCCCCAUCCAAAUCAUACAUGUUGCCACUGUUCACAGAGCCCUCUACCAGCCCCACUAUGGCUUGGCAUGCAAUGAAAGUCCUCAGACAAACAAUCAGCUACCUUAAUCCAGGUCAGACACCAGUCAUGGUAGCUGAUCAACCACUCUUCACACUGGCCAAGAAACUUCAGUGGAAGUUUCCUCAGACCGAGCUUGGCGAGGAUUCCUUCCUGGUAACACUGGGCCCAAUGCAUACCGAAAAGAUGCUGUGGAGCGUGUCUGGUGACUGGCUGGAUGGCAGCGGGUGGACCACAGCUCUUAUCAAUAGUGGCAUCUCGACUAGUGGCAAAGCUCAGGCCUUCAUUAGUGUUCACCACAUAUGCAGAGCCCGAUACAUGCGUCACGUGUCUGUAGCUGCUCUCUAUGUGCUCACGAAGAAGGCUUAUGAUAAGUACAUGGAGAAGGCAACAAAUGACAAUGAUGAGCCGAGCGAUCUCAUCCUUCAGCCUUUUGAUGAAUGGCUCAAGACGCUUUGUGCCUCACAACCCCAAGCAGAUUUCUUGUUCAAGUCCAUGGAGCUGGAUCUUCUCAUUCUUCAGUUUGUCAAGUUCUGUCGCUCAGCAGACUUCUCCCUCCACAUGGAGACACUUGACUCUCUGAUGCCAUGGGUAUUUGCACUGGAUCAUACGCACUAUGCCCGGAACCUACCCAUCCAUCUCCGUGAUAUGGCUACAUUAGAAGCACGACAUCCUGCUCAAUUUGUGGAGUUCCAGAGUGGUCACUUCAUGGGGCAGAAGUUGAGACGAGCGUUCUCCAAGAUCCCCCAUGACCCGAUGCAUGAGCAACUAAUGACUGGCUCAAGAAUCAUGGUGGUGUCAUAG
rnacentral:lncRNA from 15 species